rnacentral:rRNA from 1 species
GAUGAGCGCUGGCGGCGUGCCUAAUACAUGCAAGUCGAGCGAACAGAUAAGGAGCUUGCUCCUUUGACGUUAGCGGCGGACGGGUGAGUAACACGUGGAUAACCUACCUAUAAGACUGGGAUAACUUCGGGAAACCGGAGCUAAUACCGGAUAACAUAUUGAACCGCAUGGUUCAAUAGUGAAAGGCGGCUUUGCUGUCACUUAUAGAUGGAUCCGCGCCGUAUUAGCUAGUUGGUAAGGUAACGGCUUACCAAGGCAACGAUAUGUAGCCGACCUGAGAGGGUGAUCGGCCACACUGGAACUGAGACACGGUCCAGACUCCUACGGGAGGCAGCAGUAGGGAAUCUUCCGCAAUGGGCGAAAGCCUGACGGAGCAACGCCGCGUGAGUGAUGAAGGUCUUCGGAUCGUAAAACUCUGUUAUCAGGGAAGAACAAAUGUGUAAGUAACUGUGCACAUCUUGACGGUACCUGAUCAGAAAGCCACGGCUAACUACGUG